AACCAGCUCUUCAAGUGGUCGGGAAUUUUAUUGGGCUUAAAGUGUCCGUAGCCUGUCUGAUAAGUUCCUGGUUAAAUCCGACAGCUUAACUGUGGGAUCGCUAGGAAUACUGUCUUACUAGAGGGUGGGAAAGGUCUGAGGUACUCCAGGGGUAGCGGUGAAAUGCGAUAAUCCUUGGGGGACCACCAGUGGCGAAGGCGUCAGACUGGAACACGCCUGACGGUGGGGGACGAAAGCCAGGGGAGCGAACGGGAUUAGAUACCCCGGUAGUCCUGGCCAUAAACGUUGCGUGCUAGGUGUUGGUAGGGCUUUGAGCCGUAUCAGUGCCGUAGGGAAACUGUUAAGCGCGCCGCCUGGGAAGUACGCUCGCAAGAGUCAAACUUAAAGGAAUUGGCGGGGGAGCACCACAAGGGGUGAAGCCUGCGGUUC
rnacentral:rRNA from 1 species